UACGUAGGGGGCGAGCGUUGUCCGGAGUUACUGGGCGUAAAGCGCACGCAGGCGGUCUGCUAAGUUUGGAGUGACAGUUGGUGGCUUAACUGCCAAAGUGCUUCGAAAACUGACAGACUUGAGGGCUUCAGAGGGACACGGAAUUCCGGGUGGAGUGGUGAAAUGCGUAGAGAUCCGGAGGAACACCAAAGGCGAAGGCAGUGUCCUGGGUGUACCUGACGCUCAGGUGCGAAAGCCAGGGGAGCGAACGGG
rnacentral:rRNA from 1 species